GGAAGUUGCCCAUUUAUGGAUACUAGAGCAAAUGAUAUCAUCACAAUAGGUGGCUCCUGUCUAAAUAGGAUCAUUUGUGAAAUGAGAUUACAGGCAUUUAUCUGGGAAACAGGAGACAGAGGCACCUGCUUUAUGUAAUUGAUAUCCUGGGGACUUAUAGUGUACAAUAAUCAAGAAAAAUCUUCCUUUCUAAUUCUAUUAUGUGGGAAAAAACCCCUCUUUUUUUCUGCCUGCAUAAAACAAACCCCACUUCCACAUGGAAUAAGCUCCAGACCAUGUUUUCUAUUAUGCUUGAAUAUAUGGGACAUGCAUUGCAAUCCUAUGCUUGCCACACUGCUGCAGUAUACUUGUUUUGCAGAGCUCUGUAGCAGGCUAGUCAAAGCUGUGACUAACCAGACCCUUGGAUACGUACUCUAAUCUCUGGCCUUUAUUUUUACAAUGAAUUUGAUUCAUUCUUUGAUUGCAUAUUUUUUCUGAUUUGCGAGAAGCUUCAUGCUCUGUGUUUGGAUGCUGACUGCAAUACAGCAAUAGUCUUUGAUACGCUUUACACUCUCAAAUUAAAGCUUAAAAACCUCCAAGGAAGGAAAGGAGGCCAGAUUGGAGGGGGAGGAGGUGAGAGGAAGGAAGCGGGUGGAGAAAACCACUAUAUUCCCAAGAUGCAAGGAAAGUUGAAAAGUAGAAGAAAAAAUAUAUUAAAUCAGUGUAAACUAAGAGGUAAGUUUAAGGCAUUUUUUUUUUACAUUGAAUGUAUGUUUUGUUGGGGGUAUUUUUAGCAGUAAAAUGCUGUGUACUUUAAAAACGGUUUAAAUACACUAAAGUGAGGUAAUUGCUUUUUCUUCAUUUUGUGUGCUAUAAAAUUGAUCUAUAUUUUUAUUAAAACCCAUCAAAGAAUGUGUUGUGCUGGGAGUUUGGUACGUUUUUGCUGUUGCUGGUUAGAACCGUCUAUUACCUCACCAAUGACCUACAUGAAGUGAAGCAACGUCCCAUGGCAGCAGGCAGGGUGUUUUGUUGUAGAGCUCAGCUGCAAAAGUUAAUUGUUUAUGGAGAUUUAAUGGGCAUCAUGCUCCUACUUACCUACAUCUCUGUAAUUCAGCAGUGUAUCGGUAUAGCUUAGCAAAAGAGGCUCUAAAGUAAUAGAUUUUGGUAUAGUUAGGAAGAGAGUUGACCUGCGUUCUUUGAACUGAGAUCAGAUCAGUGCCCUACGUUGCCUAUUAGUGUUGUUGCUAUUACUGCUACUUGGUGCGCUGCCUAUACAGAGGUUGUAUAAGUUAAGUUUUGAUCAGAGACCACAUGCCAGCAGCUGAAUAGUAAAGUCUGGUGCACUUAAAAGCUCAUUUAUUACUAGAAUGUUUGUUGCUGUGCUGCCAGGAGCCUGCCAGAGAAGCAACGGAAUAAAAAUAUUGCUGAUUAAUACGACUGUGCUUGUGUUGUAACACCAUGUGAUACUGAACGCUUUGUCACAGAUGAGUUUAGAGAGGAAAGGAAUAGAAAUCUGUAAGGAGUGGAUGCAGAUGUAAUGAGGUUUCUCAUGGUUGUGUCAAACAGCUGGGCUGAGUGGGAAGGCAGAGAUGUUUCUGCAGCCUUCAGUACUUACUGCAUAUACAGACCAAGUUGUAUGCAUUAUUUUUAUCUUUGGAGCUUGGGAACCGAGUAGAGCAAGUGUGUGACAUCAGCUGUAAUGAAGAGACCCACAAUCUUGGGAGCUGAUGGUUAUGGUGAACACAGGAGAGGGAAUGCAGAAAAAUUGCUGCCAUCUUCCUCUUUGGUCCUCAUGAAGCUUCUGCUGGGUCUGAUCCUCCUGGGCUGGAGGUCAUACUGUGUUUCAAAGCUUCCAGUGUCUCUGUUGUUCUCGAAUUUAUCCAGUCUUGUUUUUUGACCUGUUUGCUUUAUUGGUCUCAGUAACAUGUUAUGGAAAUGGGUUCUGUAAAUUAAGUGCAUUGUCUUUGUUUUAAGCCUGCUGUUUGAGAGUUGCAUUGAUUGCUUCAAGUAUAUUUAAUGUGAAAAGUGAAUAAUAUUUCUCACAGAGAUGCUUAUCAUCGUCACCUUAAGCUGUCUAAUUAUAGGCUGAAAAGCUGCAGUCUGCUUAUAUUUCCCUCCUGUUCCAUAUGUCUGAUCACCCUUGUCCCUCUCUUUAUGUUUUCUAGCCCUGCUAUAUUUCUUCAGUGACUUAGAUGAAAAUGCUAGAGGUAUACUGCUUUCUGAAGACAUGUUUGUCUAAUGGCUAUCUCCUCUUCCUUUCUGUCACCAUUUAGCCUUCCUUAACUUUUCUAAAUAUUUUUUUCAGAAUUGAACUGAAUGCUUAAAUAUUUCUACAGAUAGCAGUUACAUAAAUAUAUGCAUGGCAGCUGUGCACUUCAGGAUGAAUAUAUUAUGGAUGAAGAGCUUGAAUUCCACAGUAUUUGUACUAUUUUUAUUCAGGCACAUCCUGCGAAUUUAGUAUCAAAUGGCCUAAUUCUGCUCUAACUGACACUAAAGCCAGUGAAUUAAACCAGAAACUCCUACACAAUUCAGUAGGAUCAGGACUUGUCCUGCCUGCUGGAGAACAAAGCUCAACUUCACUUUCAGAGCUGCUCGGAACUGUGUAUGAAUCUAGAAGUUCAGAGAAGGAAGCUUGGGACAGAAGUAACCAUGAUUCUUGAGCAGAUGUGACUGUAGGGCUGGGGAGAGCUGGAAGAUAGCAAUGGGUGAACAACAGGAGCUGUGAGGAGUGGGCAGCAGAGGCAACUGCAGACUCCCAAGAGUGGCGGGCUGUCAUGACAUGAUCAGGUACUCUGACGUGUAUCCCGAAGGCCAUCAACGCCUAAGUUCUACAAAGGUGAAUGGGAAUGUGGCAUCCUAAUUUGGCUCUGUGAUUUUCAGCCUUAAGGAAAAUCAGCAGAAUGGGAGAGGGUAAAACUCAGGCUUAAGGUCAGACUAGAUAUCUGAUAGCUGUAGUGGUCUCUAUUUUGUUCUGUAUAGAUUAAUGGAGAGUAUUUUCCUCUGACAUUUAGAAAUCAUGUCCUAUAUUUUAAACAGUCUUAAAUAAUUAAUAUGGCAAUUUUACCACAACUCCAUCAUUACACAGAACUAUCAGACCAAGGAAUGAAUCAUACUCUUCUCAGUACCUGGCGUCUAUUCUCCCUUCUGUGAAAUUUUUGAAGACUAAAAGUCCCUUUUAAGUUCAUACAGCUUAGUAACGGGCCAGAAGAAAACAGAAGUGUUUUCUCCUGAAAAAGAGAUUCUGUGUAGAAAAUGCCGUUUAGAGAUUUUUUGUUUAGUCAGACACUUCUGCUCAUUGCUAAUAGAAGUAGCAGAAAGCUUCAAAGAGGCACAGCCCAGGUUGUUAAAAAUUCUAUAAAUAAAAAUGAACCCUUUCCUUGGAAUCUAACAGCAGCCCAUACACAUCAAUGCAUUGGUAUUAAUAUAUCAUUCACCAGUUGUGUUACUUCAGCUUCACUUCACUGUGAACGUUAAGGUAUAGAAUGCUUUGAAGAAAUCUGGGCUAGCAUUAAUAGAGCUAUGCAUGGCAGCAUCCAGGAAGGAAACGUACUUCUUAUGAAGCUUAUUUGAGAGUUUAUCCAAAUGUAUAGAGUGAAUCUAGCCAACUAAUAGCAAACUGGAAUAACAAAUAACAAAUGCUUUCUUCUAUCACUUGUCUUCAUGAGCCUCGGUUUAUCUUCUUAUUGCCCUCUUUAGGCAGGUAGUACCUCUUGACUUUACAUGGGGCAAGUUUUAGUAAUGUUUCAUCCCUUUGUUCACUGCAGUGUUCAGCCAGCUGCAGCCGGAUCAGGCAGUGGAAAUAAAACGCAUAUAUUAACUUAAGGACUUUUGACAUGAGUUCUGCCAACAGUUCUGCUGGUAACUGGAAAUACUACAAGCUUUGUUACUGCACACUGUCUCUCUUUGCCAAAUUCUGUCCUUUUUCUCUCCCCCCAGGUCUAACAGUGCACCUUCUCCCUCUUGCCGCGUGUGACUUUUCCCUUGUGUCCCCAGGAGCCUGAUGUUCUCUGUUUCCUCCCCAGAUCUGUGUUCCUCCAUCAUCACUAGGGUAUAAUAAUAGAUAAACGUGCAUGAUGGUAGAGAAAAAGACUGAGGCAAAACCUCUUCCUUUUACAAAGUGAUCCAGACUGUCAGUUUGGCUCCAAUAUAUGUGUCCCUCCCCAUGCCACACAUAAAGUGUAGCAUUUAAAACUUCAUCCAUGGUAGAAAGGGAGAAUGCAGAGUAGAUUGGAGAAAGCAAGGCAUCAUCUUCUUUAUGAGGUGUUCCAGCCAAAAGUCAGGGUUCUCUAUCCUCAUUUAUAUAGAAUCACAGAAUAUCCUGAGUUUAUGCAAAAGGUGUUAAAUGCUUAGAUUUACAGUGACUUCCAGACUUAGGGGGAUUGUACUGCUUUUUUAUAUUUCAGACACCAGAAGUGCAUAUCAGUAUUAACUGACUAAUGACAAACAUCUUUUCUAAAUUUUGUGGGCUUUCAGGAGGUAAGGAAAUGGAAUCUUCCUCAUGCCCAGCACUCUCACAAGUUGUUGUGUGCUGUACAUGAGCAGGAGAAUGACUGAUGCUGUAAACUGAAAGGCAAAGAAAGGAUGGAUCUGAAAGACAUUCUGUGUCUUGAUUCUCUUGAUAUCUCUGCCAAGAUAUAGAUAGCAGAAGGAAUCUGGUCUUGCUUUGAAGCAUGGAAGCAGUGUUGGUUCUCUAGAAUACAGGCAGAACUGAAUUUUGGAACAGUUCCUAUCCCCUGCAGCAUGACUAACCGUGCUCCCUAUAGGUAGACCUGAGGAAACAACAGAUUGCUUCUGCAAAGGCAGCCUUUGUAGUGAAGCAGGAGAAAAACAUUCUGAUGCAAAAACAGCUUAGGUACUAUUAUUUCAUACUUCCACAAAUGGAAUAAUAAAGCAAUUCUGAAAUACCUUUCUGACCAUGCAGUGACCUCUAAAUUAUAUGUACAAAACCGAGUAAUUUCAAACACUGUCCAAUUAUCUCAUUCCAAUAUGGCAUUCAGUAAGAGAAGGAUUGGCCAAGAAAGGAAGGUGGACUGAAUCUUCAAUUAAGAACCAUCUUUAUAGUGAAUAGAAGCUUAGUAUAUUAUUACAACUGUUAUUUAAAGAAACUGCUUAUACUGGCAAAGUUUUGUUUCAUGAGAAUGUUUGCCUCACAAAGCUCCCUUGCAAAUACGAGGAUGCUAACAAUUUUGGCUUAGAGAAAACCUUUAGAUUUUCAGGCAAGAAAUGCUACAUUCACCUCCAUUGUCAAAGGUGCCUUUAAGUUCAUAGCUGUGCAGUUCUCUUCUGGGAAUGCAAUUAUGAUUCCAGCUUUCAUGCUGGUAGUGCAUUUUCAGCAGGUGGUUACAGUUGAGUUAUUUCAUAGAAUCACAGAAAUUUUUGAGGUUGGAAGGGAUCCCUGGAGACUGCCCAGUCAAACCCCACCUGCUCUAAGCGGGAUCCUGACUGAGUUGGCCAUGACACUGCCCAUCUCAGUCAGGUUUUGGAUAUCUCCAAGGAUGGAGACUUCUCAGCUUCUCUCGGCAACCUGUGCCAGUGAAUUCCCUUGCGGGGAAUGAGAGUUGCGAUCAGCCCAUAAUGCUUCAUCUUUGCCAUUUCUUCACAGCCACUCUCUGCCCCUGCUUCAUGUGGGAUCCCUCCCACAGGAUGCCAUCCUUCCCCAGCUGAUCGCACAAGGGCUUCCCACAGGCUGCAGCUCCCCCAGCCCUCCUGUCCCACCGCAGGCUGCUUUCCUUGGGCUGCAGCUCUGGCCUGGGCUGCUCCUGUGGGAGAAUCCAUGGGCUGCGGCCUUCAGGCCUCACACACUGCUGCACCAUGAGCUCCUCUGUGGCUGCACAGGGAGAUCUGCUUUGCAUGGUGCCCAUGGGCUGCAGGGGAUGACCUGCUCCUCCAUGGGCCUCUUCUGGGCUCCUAUUCUCUCUGCUGAGGCCUCUCCUGCAGCCCCCUGCUUGGCGCUUUUGCAAAGAGAGGUCAAAUCAAUCCUUCACUUUCAACAUGCUCUCUGAACAAGUUCAAUGGAUCCCAGUCCCUCAGUUGAAUCCCAUGCUGCUCUAAACCAGUUAACUCACAAGACUGAAAAUCAGAUACUCUGUAAUUUUAGACUGUUGCAAUAUUUUUCCCUCAUUUCAGAAUAAUUUAGGACCUGGAUUGUCCUAGUAGUUUUGUUAGAUAAGUAGCAAUUCCCUAUAUCACUGUGCUUGAAUCAGUAAUAUGUCUGAUGCAAGAGGGAUACGUGUUUUUUUUUUCUCUUUAAAGUAAGCAUGGAAAAUGAAGAUCUAGGGGAAAAGACUUCAGCUGUGGUUCAUGACCCAGGAAGCCAUCCCCAGCAUGAUCCAGGCAGAUAUGUAGAGCAAAACAGAGGCUACCACAGUGCAUUAUUUUAUUUAUGGAAUGUUAAUGCCUAUAUUUAGGUGAAGAUUUUUCAUUAUCCCCUGUUAACUCAUAAUAAAUGUUUUACUGAGGAAAUUAUUUAGAAUCAAAUUUAUUCUCCUCCACAAUAACCUCUUUCUCC
rnacentral:lncRNA from 1 species